UUCAGAGGUCCCAAGCGUUGUUCGGAUUCACUGGGCGUAAAGGGUGCGUAGGUGGCGGGGUAAGUCUGAUGUGAAAUCUCCGAGCUUAACUCGGAAACUGCAUCGGAUACUGCUUUGCUCGAGGGUUGGAGGGGGGACUGGAAUACUUGGUGUAGCAGUGAAAUGCGUAGAUAUCAAGUGGAACACCAGUGGCGAAGGCGAGUCCCUGGACAACUCCUGACACUGAGGCACGAAAGCUAGGGGAGCAAACAGG
rnacentral:rRNA from 1 species